AGUGAACGCUGGCGGUAGGCCUAACACAUGCAAGUCGAACGGCAGCACAGGAGAGCUUGCUCUCUGGGUGGCGAGUGGCGGACGGGUGAGGAAUACAUCGGAAUCUACUCUGUCGUGGGGGAUAACGUAGGGAAACUUACGCUAAUACCGCAUACGACCUACGGGUGAAAGCAGGGGAUCUUCGGACCUUGCGCGAUUGAAUGAGCCGAUGUCGGAUUAGCUAGUUGGCGGGGUAAAGGCCCACCAAGGCGACGAUCCGUAGCUGGUCUGAGAGGAGGAUCAGCGACACUGGAACUGAGACACGGUCCAGACUCCUACGGGAGGCAGCAGUGGGGAAUAUUGGACAAUGGGGGCAAGCCUGAUCCAGCCAUACCGCGUGGGUGAAGAAGGCCGUCGGGUUGUAAAGCCCUUUUGUUGGGAAAGAAAUCCAGCUGGCUAAUACCCGGUUGGGAUGACGGUACCCAAAGAAUAAGCACCGGCUAACUUCGUGCCAGCAGCCGCCGUAA
rnacentral:rRNA from 1 species